AGACAAAAUGUCUCGAUUAACAAAGGGGCUGACGAUUUACAGGAUUUCUUCCUUGUGGUAAAGUUGUUCCAGCGAGGGAGUGAGACAGAGAAGCAGGUAAAGAGACAAAAUGUCUCGAUUAACAAAGGAGCUAAUGAUUUACAGGAUUUCUUCUUUGUGGUAAAGCUAUUCCAGGGAGGGAGUGAGACAGAGAGAGACCAGACAAUGGGAAAGGGAGAGAUUGAAAGGAUGUCUCAAGGGAGGGCAGAGAGGGAAAUCAAAGUAAAGGACAAGAAAAUAUGGAAGAGGGAUAGAGAGAACGAACAGGAAAUAGGGAGAAGGGAAAGACAUGAGACAAGCUUGGGGCGAUAGAGAAAGAAUGCCUGAAAUGGAAUGUUGCAGAGAAAGAUAUUGAAAGGAGUAAACUGUUAUGGAUUACUACGCAAAUUGGUUUAUUUGGUUCGGUGUUCCUUUUUUUAUUUACUACUUUAUACUUCAAAAUUAAAUGGAUGAAUGUAAUAUGACCCACCUUUUCAAUGACUUCCUUUUUCUUCUUGUAUUAGAUUAAAUCCCUUUUGAUUUACUGCUUCAUAAUUUGAAAUAUUUGACUCAUCCUUUUUGGUCAUUUGAUUAUGAACUGAAUCACACAUUUGUUUGAA